rnacentral:tRNA from 1 species
GCCGCGGUGGCGGAAUUGGUAGACGCAAGGGACUUAAAAUCCCUCGAUGUGUAUAACAUCGUGUGAGUUCAAAUCUCUCCCGCGGCA